rnacentral:rRNA from 1 species
GUCGAGGGGAAACGACAUCGAAAGCUUGCUUUUGAUGGGCGUCGACCGGCGCACGGGUGAGUAACGCGUAUCCAACCUGCCCACCACUUGGGGAUAACCUUGCGAAAGUAAGACUAAUACCCAAUGACGUCUCUAGAAGACAUCUGAAAGAGAUUAAAGAUUUAUCGGUGAUGGAUGGGGAUGCGUCUGAUUAGCUUGUUGGCGGGGUAACGGCCCACCAAGGCGACGAUCAGUAGGGGUUCUGAGAGGAAGGUCCCCCACAUUGGAACUGAGACACGGUCCAAACUCCUACGGGAGGCAGCAGUGAGGAAUAUUGGUCAAUGGGCGAGAGCCUGAACCAGCCAAGUAGCGUGCAGGAUGACGGCCCUAUGGGUUGUAAACUGCUUUUAUAAGGGAAUAAAGUGAGUCUCGUGAGACUUUUUGCAUGUACCUUAUGAAUAAGGACCGGCUAAUUCCGUGCCAGCAGCCGCGGUAAUACGGAAGGUCCG